rnacentral:rRNA from 1 species
GCCGCCGCGGUAAUACGGAAGGUCCAGGCGUUAUCCGGAUUUAUUGGGUUUAAAGGGAGCGUAGGCCGCCCCUUAAGCGUGUUGUGAAAUGCCGCGGCUCAACCGUGGCACUGCAGCGCGAACUGGGGGGCUUGAGUGCACGCAACGCAGGCGGAAUUCGUGGUGUAGCGGUGAAAUGCUUAGAUAUCACGAAGAACUCCGAUUGCGAAGGCAGCUUGCGGGAGUGCGACUGACGCUGAAGCUCGAAGGUGCGGGUAUCGAACAGGAUUAGAUACCCC